UACGUAGGGUGCAAGCGUUAUCCGGAAUUAUUGGGCGUAAAGAGCUCGUAGGCGGUUUGUCGCGUCUGCUGUGAAAACUGGAGGCUCAACCUCCAGCCUGCAGUGGGUACGGGCAGACUAGAGUGCGGUAGGGGAGAUUGGAAUUCCUGGUGUAGCGGUGGAAUGCGCAGAGUAUCAGGAGGAACACCGAUGGCGAAGGCAGAUCUCUGGGCCGUAACUGACGCUGAGGAGCGGAAAGCAUGGGGAGCGAACAGG
rnacentral:rRNA from 1 species